GUGCCUGUGAGAAGACAGAGGCAUCAGGCCCAAGCAGGAGAGGGGUUUGUCAGAUGGGAGGCAGCCCCACAACUGGCAAGAUUGGCCUUUGGUGCAUGGGGUCUCCCCAGCUGUUGGACCACAGGACCGACACCGUGUAGCCCGCCUUCCUGAGCUCUUUCUACCCCUCUCCUCUGCCUCUCACUCCCAGGGCUGGUGCAUCUUUGCUUGCAUCAAGCUCCUCCAGGCUCCCCAGCUCUGGAACCACACGCACAGGCCAGCACCCCGUGUGUCACAUCGGGCACAAGUUCAGACCUUGCAGGGGCCCCAGAACCUCCAUGUCCCCAAGAUCCAGUGCCCACACCCUCCCGAGGUGCCUGGCGGCACAGUGGCCAGAAGAAGUGCCCAGGCCCAGAGGCCCAGCAGAGCAGAUGCAGCUGUAGACGGUGGCUGAGUGUCCCCUCUCAGGUCCUGGAGACACAAGACUUGACCACACUGGGCCAUUCCCAGCCUCCCGGGGCUUCCCAAACUCCAGGUGGCUCUGAAAGCCCACCUUGAAGGUACAGUUCAAACCCCUCUUCCGGAAGGAGGAAACCCAGCCCUGGAACCCCUGCCCCUACCUUCAUCCAUCCCGUUGAGGAUCUGAUCCAGGUAGCUUUCUCCAUAGCGGCUCCUGUGCUCCUUCCACACGGAGCCGUUUUCGCUCCUCAGAACCACGAGCUCACGGUCUCCACGGCCAUGGGAGGCAAAGUGCGGGAUCUCCACGAUCACAGGGCUGAGGCUGGUCUCGAACUCCUGGCCUCAAGGGAUGCUCCCACUUCAGCCUCCAAAGCACUGAGAUUACAGGCAUGAGCCACUGGGCCCGACCUAAGAUCUGAGAGUUGUAAGCCCUCUCAGGGCUGUGGAUGCCAGGAAAGGGGGAGGGACACCCAGUUCUGUUUCCCCGUCAGGACAGUGGAGGUGGCGUGGCCUCCAUGGCACAGGGACAGGACAUGCUCUCCACGCAGGAAAACCACAGAGAUGGAACUUCUCACCUGCUCCGGCUCUUCGGACCUGAUCACCACCGUCUCGGGCGUGACACAGGGAAUCCUGGGGAUGGCGGGAGAUUCCACCCUGCGAGAUGAGAACACCAGAACAUCACAGAGCUCAUCCACACGUGCACACAGCUUCCUCUCUUCCUCUUGUUUCCAAGUCUCUCCCUCCCACUUUCCACUGCAGAGCCCAACUGCCCUUCACAACCUGGUGGAAGGACCAUCUCCUCCUCCGUAAAGUCCUCCCUAGUGUCUCCAGCCUACACUCCUCACCCCUUUCUGCACCUGUAGAGCCUGUUGACAGAGGCCCCGCUCUGGCUAACAAUGUAUCUUUCUGCAUUGCUACACGACCACUCCCUGGGCGCUUGGAUCCCACCAAAUGAAUCUGCAGCGCACCCAGCACCUGGCCUGCUGUGCUCUUCCUCCCUCUAGAAUCCCUGCUCUGAGCCACAGGGCUGCACCUCAGCAUCCCCCCGGGGACCCUCUUGGGAGCGCUGCUCACACUUGGUCUAGCUUCGGCACAAAAUCCAGCAGCUCCUUCUCUUCAUCGACAUCCCUGGAAUCCUGCCUCUCAGCCUUGGAGCCGAUGAGUUCCUCCCCUGAAACAGCAAGAGCUCAAGUGAGCGACAGGGUGGAGGGAGAAGAGUCCCUCUUUCUUUUUAAAAAGUGCUGUUUCUGCUCCGCCUCUUGGGGCUUGCUCCUGAGGCAUGCGGAAGGCCUCGAUGCUGCAAGGAGACUGGGAGCUAUGUCUUUGCCCAGUCCUGGUCCUCCAGCGCUGGGAUAGAGAGCAGGGCAGCUGGCUCCUGACAUCUUAGAUGCCUGAGGCUUUGCGGGAGGCCAAAGCCACAGCCAGAAGGAACUUUCUUCACUUAGUUCUAAUUCAAAACAGCUCUUUUUGGUGUGCCAUAGCACCAAAGAAGGAACUGCUGCUGCUCUUUUCCACUCCACACCGACAGGAGAAUAAACUACAGUGGAACUGGACCCACUCGUUUCAAAGGCUGGAGAAUUUUUUGUAACCAUGGCAGCCAGAACUUCCUUACUUCCAAAGCCCAUCACGAAGAAGUUCAAACUAUGGGUGAAUCGGCUGCCUGCACCCCUGACUGCCUCUUUGUUUCUCUCUCCUAGCCUGAACUGGAGCUGGAGCCCCAGGCAUCGACCUUUAGGGGUCAUGCAUUGCCACCCAGCAGUGAGCGCCCUGGCUUGUGACCUGGAGCUGACGGAAUGGAAAAACAACAGCUCAUGCAGUUAUGAUCACAAACACGGCAGCAUGGGCACAGACACAGAGAUGGAUGGGCGGGAGCUGCCCGUUGGGGCAUGGGUCUCAUGGGUGUGAAUCCCCUGGUUUAGUCGAGUUCCUGGCUCCAGAUUAUUAGCUGUCAGAGGAAGAUGGAAAGCAGGCAUGGAUUAGUGAGUGUUUGGGUUGCUUAGGGUGAAAUGCACUCUGGUGAAAAAAGACCACAGGAAACAGAAAGCGUUUCAUACCCAUUAUAGUUAUAUGAGCAGUUCCUGGAAAGCAAAGGAGAGCCGAGUUGAAAGAAGGACCACAUUGAAGGCAGUUAAAGUGACAGGCAUAUAUAUUAUCCAAAGGAACACCAGAGAGCUCUGCUUCUCUGGUUGACAAAGUUAUACAACCACGGAAUUACCCGGAUGGAAGGGAGCACUGAGCUGAUCCAGCCCACCCUACUAUUCAACAUCCCCAUCUAAUCAGUGAGGAAAUAAGUUUUGUUGGGGGUAGGAAAAAGGCUAGAAGCAUUCUGUAGUUCAUAGAAGCUGAGACUAUAGUGAUUUCUUUCUUUUUCUUUUAGAGACAGGGUCUUGCUCUGUCACCCAGGCUAGAGCGCAGUAAGGUGAUUACAGCUCAUGGCGGCCUCAAGCUCUUGGACUCAAGCAAUCUUCCUAUCUCAGCCUCCUAACUGGGCCUAGCGAUGUGCACCACCACACCCCGCUAAUUUUUAGUUCUAAUUUUUUUGUAGAGACGGGGGUCUCCCUAUGUUGCCCAGGUCGGCCUUGAACUCCUAGCCUCAAGCAAUCAUCCAACCUUGGCUGCCCAAAGUUCUGGGAUUACAGGCGUGAACCCAGGCACCCAGCCAGAUUAUAGUAAUUUCGUAAUCACAGAAAUAACCCAAAACCUACUGACCUACUGGGUGGUCAGAAGUGCAGCUUAGUAUAAGGCAUUCUGACAGAUUUUGAAUAAUCCCCUUAGUAUUUGUUCAAAGCACAAAGAAAGCACCAGGCAGAAUUUUAUUCCAGCUCCUCACAGCACUGAGAGUUGAUCUUAGUAAACUAUGCUCCAAUUUGAUACUCAGGCAUAAUCUAUGUAAACAUACAUGUAUUUUUGAAACUUCAUGGGAUUUAAAAUUUAGUCAAUAUUCCUUCACCUAAGAUUGUAUUGAUGGAGUAGUAUUUUUGAUAAUAGACAACAGUUAUAAAAAGCAGGUCUGCCCAGUUUCAAUGUUCAUCUGUAGUGCUUGGGCGUGCUGUAAGGGAGCGAAACCGGCAGGUAGCAGGAAGCCCCCUUAGAGGGUGCCCGGAGCCCCUCUGUCCCCACUAGCCUGAGUUCAUUACCCCAACCUUACCUUCAUCUUCCGAGACAUCCAGGAUCUCAUCUACCGUCUCAGGGAAACUCAUCCGAUGCUUAUCACUGACUAACUACAACGAGAAAAAGCAGAGAAUUCAACCCAAACUAGAGCUGUGCACUUUUCCACCAGUCCAGAGGUUCUCUGGUCACGCCUGUAGGGUUUGCCUCAAAUGAAGAAAACAGACGGAGGAGACGCUCAGCCUGGAAGCUGCUAGGCAGGAAGCCCUGGGAUGGGACCCGGGAAACCUGGUUUCCCAUCUUUCCCAAACCCAUCCACCCCGCUGCUGCCCGGGAACGCUGGUCCCGCCCUGAGUCCUCAUGCCACUAGGUGGCAGCACAGCUCCACUGGAAGGAGGACAACCUCCCACCUCUUGGCUGAGGCGCCUCUGACGGGCGUCCUGGAGACCCAGAGUGCACCCCACUUCCAGAGUAACCCUGGGCACGCCCGUGAGCCAGGCUGAGCGUGUCUAGGGUGGGUGCGAGGGAGAGGCAGACAUACCACGAAACUGGUUUCAUCUGUGACAACCUUGAGUACGUCGGUGACAGAAAUGUAACCCAAGCGCUUGGCUAUGGCCAGAGGUGUGGUUCCAUCCUGGGAAAAGAGCAACCGGGUGCAGUCAGACAGGGGAUGGAGUCUGGGAGGCGGGGAUGGCUCCUCAGACACAUAUUGAAUUCAUUUUCUAGUUGUUCAGGAAGACCUGAGUGGACAGACGUCACCGUGGAGCCCAGAAAGAGAUCUCUGCAUGGGUGUGUGCCUAGAUGUGUGUUAGCAGCAGCACCCACAGAGACAGCUUGCAGAGAAAGAGCUACGUGACCAACCAUAAAUGGAUCCUGAGGCUUGAUUUUUCUUCUGACAUCUCUACUUUCAGGAUGUGCCUUGGGAUCCGUUCAGAUUCAAGCCCAGCUGCAGUCGCAAUUUCUGCAACCACAUCUACAAUGAAGGGUCCCUUUUUUUUUUUUUUUUCUUUUUUUGUGAGACAGAGUCUCGCUCUGUCACUCAGGCUGGAGUGCAGUUAUGUGAUCUUGGUUCACUGCAACCUCUGCCUCCUGGACUCAAGCAGUUCUUGUGUCUCAACCUCCUGAGCAGCUGGGACUACAAGCACCUGUCACCUCACCUGGCUAAUUUUUGUAUUUUUAGUAGAGACAGGGUUUUGCCUUGUUGGCCAGGCUGGUCUCGAACUCCUGACCUCAAGUGAUCCACCUGCCUUGGCCUCCCAAGUGCUGGAAUUAUAGGUGUGAGCCACUGCGCCCAGCCAAGGGCCCACAUGCCUUCAGAAAUAGAAGGAGACGUGGAGAUAAUUUCACAGAGCCUCCGCAUGGUCAGAUGAGGAAGCUCAUACUGAACAAUGAUUGCUGAUGUCACUAAAGGUAACCUCAAGUCCUGAACAAUCAGGGACCACCCACAACAUUUAAUUUUGUUCACUUGCACCAUAGUGAAAAUAGUUUCAUGCAUUUAAGAA